UAUUGGGACAACCUGAUAAUAAGGAAUUACAGUAGUCAAGCCUAGAAGUAACAAAUGCAUGGACUAGUUUUUCUGCAUCACUCUGAGACAGGAUGUUCCUGAUUUUCACAAUAUUUCUCAGGUGGAAAAAGGAAGUCCUACAGAUUUUUAUGUGUUUUUGAUCUGAACCUUGGUAGCACAGAGCAGAAGGUUGGUAGAGGGUUGGCAGAGGGUUGGUAGAGGGUUGGCAGAGGGUUGGCAGAGGGUAGGUAGAAGGUUGGCAGAUGGUUGGCAGAAGGUUGGUAGAGGGUUGGCAGAGGGUUGGCAGAAGGUUGGUAGAAGCUUGGUAGAGGGUUGGUAGAGGGUUGGCAGAGGGUUGGUAGAAGCUUGGUAGAGGGUUGGCAGAGGGUUGGCAGAGGGUUGGCAGAGGGUUGGUAGAGGGUUGGUAGAAGGUUGGGGUUGAAAACAGCAACCCUGGUGAUUCCAGCCAGGUGAUGGUGGAGCUCCUCAAGACACCAGGAUGGAAGCUGAUGGUGGAUCUAUAUACCAUUAUUGCAUUACAUUCACUCUGUUUCUUUCUGUGUCCUUUCUCCGAGUGUCCCUGGUCCCAGAGCUGGAUGCUGGA
ensembl:lncRNA